rnacentral:rRNA from 1 species
UUUUACGGCCGCAGUAUCAUGACCGUGCAAAGGUGGGGUAAUCACUUGUCUUUCAAAUGGCGACCCGUUUGAAUGGGCUUACGAGGGCUUAGCUGUCUCCUCUCUCCAGUCAAUGAAAUUGAUCUCCCCGUGCAGAAGCGGGGAUGACUACAUAAGACGAGAAGACCCUAUGGAGCUUUAGACACUAGAACAGACUAUAUACACUAGUCUUAACACAAGACAGAACCAAAAAAGACCCUGUUCCAAUGUCUUCGGUUGGGGCGACCACGGGGCAAUACAAAACCCCCGCGCGGAACAAGGACAAACCUCCACAAGCAAGAGCCCCCGCUCUAACUAACAGAAUUUCUGUCCAUAAAGACCCGGCUAAGGCCGAUCCCYGAWCCGMGUUACCCUAGGGAUAACAGCGCAAUCCUCUUCUAGAGAMYCUAUCGMCWAGAGGGUUUACUACCUCKAUKUUGGAUCGGAACAGCCUGAUGGUG